rnacentral:snRNA from 1 species
GUGCUCACUUUGGCAGCACAUACACUAAAAUCGGAACAAUACCGAGAAGAUUAUCACGGCCUCUGCACAAGGAUGACACACAAUUUGUGAAGUAUGUCAUAGUUUU